UACGAAGGGGGCUAGCGUUGUUCGGAAUUACUGGGCGUAAAGGGCGCGUAGGCGGAUAGUUUAGUCAGAGGUAACAGCCCAGGGCUCACCCUUGGACCUGCCUUUGAUACUGGCUAUCUUGAGUACGGGAGAGGUGUGUGGAACUCCGAGUGUAGAGGUGAAAUUCGUAGAUAUUCGGAAGAACACCAGUGGCGAAGGCGACACACUGGCCCGUUACUGACGCUGAGGCGCGAAAGCGUGGGGAGCAAACAGG
rnacentral:rRNA from 1 species